rnacentral:rRNA from 1 species
GUGAGGAAUAUUGGACAAUGGGCGCAAGCCUGAUCCAGCCAUGCCGCGUGCAGGAAGACGCAUCUAUGGUGUGUAAACUGCUUUUGUACGGGAAGAAACACUCCCUCGUGAGGGAGCUUAACGGUACCGUAAGAAUAAGGAUCGGCUAACUCCGUGCCAGCAGCCGCGGUAAUACGGAGGAUCCAAGCGUUAUCCGGAAUCAUUGGGUUUAAAGGGUCCGUAGGCGGUUUAAUAAGUCAGUGGUGAAAGCCCAUCGCUCAACGAUGGAACGGCCAUUGAUACUGUUAGACUUGAAUUACAAGGAAGUAACUAGAAUAUGUAGUGUAGCGGUGAAAUGCUUAGAUAUUACAUGGAAUACCAAUUGCGAAGGCAGGUUACUACUUGUGGAUUGACGCUGAUGGACGAAAGCGUGGGGAGCGAACAGGAUUAGAUACCCCGGUAGUCC